GAUUUACUGAAGUGUGUCUAUGCUUGUGAUAAGAUAAGACCUUUGUAGACGUUUUACAUUUAAAAGUGUCAUCAGGAAGAUUAGUUUUUUAACAAUAUCUUGAGAAAUUCAAUUCUGAAGAAGAGAAAUUUUAUGGACAUCGUUCUUGUUUAAUAUUGUGAAGGACCGGAAUAACUCUUCCAAAGAUCAAAAAAGGGGUGUAUGGUAUAAUAAACAUUACAAAAUGGACGUACAAAUUCCCGCUAGUCCAUUAAAACGAAAAAAAACCCUGGUUUACAUGGACAAGACGAUCAGAAUAAAGUUCCAAGGAUAUCAGGUCCACCGGGAGAUUUGAAUAACGAAAAGAAAAGAUGGCUGAUUAUUGGGAUAUGUCUACAUACGAUUAUUUCUCCUCUGCUGAGAAAAUAUGUGAAUCCUAUUAUAAUUGAUUUGUACAAAUCAUUGGUAUUUAGCGACUCCAUUGAUACACAGGAUUAUCAUACACAUUUAAAGAAAUACCCGGAAACAAAUAAAUAUUUUCUGAAUUAUGAAUCAAUAAACGACAACAGAAAAGUACCUAAGACAAAGAUUAUCAACGCAUGGAAAGGUGACUGCCAGAAAUAUGAUUACAAAGUCACAAGCCAUGUGGAUUUGUCAAAGUUAUUCCUAC